rnacentral:rRNA from 1 species
AACGCGAAGAACCUUACCAGGGCUUAAAUGCAGAUUGACAGGUUUAGAAAUAGACUUUUCUUCGGACAAUUUGCAAGGUGCUGCAUGGUUGUCGUCAGCUCGUGCCGUGAGGUGUCAGGUUAAGUCCUAUAACGAGCGCAACCCCUAUCACUAGUUGCCAGCGAGUCAAGUCGGGGACUCUAGUGAGACUGCCGGUGCAAACCGUGAGGAAGGUGGGGAUGACGUCAAAUCAUCACGGCCCUUACGUCCUGGGCCACACACGUGCUACGAUGGUAGGGACAGAGAGCAGCCACUUCGUGAGAAGGAGCGAAUCUACAAACCCUAUCUCAGUUCGGAUCGUAGUCUGCAACUCGACUACGUGAAGCUGGAAUCGCUAGUAAUCGCAUAUCAGCCAUGAUGCGGUGAAUACGUU